rnacentral:lncRNA from 1 species
AUAAGUCUGUAAAUUAGUUACAAUACGAGUAACCAAUGUAACUGCUGUCUACACAGAGGACUCGUUCGAUGAUUCACGGAUAUACUCAGAGCAAUAAAAUAGGAGAGGCGAGUUCUCUCAGCGCAAGUUCAUACUCUGUCCUUAGGUACAUAACACGAUAACUGGCAUGCAGAUUUACAGGGGGGUGGGAAGAUCGAACACAAAAUAAGAGAGAGAAAAAAAAAAAAAAAGGGACGACUAACGGAAAAUAAAGGUCUAAACAGAUCAAUCAGAAAAAGCAAACUUAAACAACAGAUUAUUAUGGAUCUCGGUCAAGAGACCCCAUGCUUUACUAACAAAAACGUAUCAGACUAAU